rnacentral:rRNA from 1 species
GAUCUGGUUCAGGAUGAACGCUGGCGGCGUGCCUAAUACAUGCAAGUCGAACGAGGUAGCAAUACCGAGUGGCGAACGGGUGAGUAACACGUAGGUAACCUGCCCUUAAGCUGGGAUACCCAGAGGAAACUUGGCUAAUACCGGAUAACAACAGAGAAGGCAUCUUCUUUGCUUGAAAGGCCCCUUCAAGGGUCACUUAAGGAUGGACCUGCGGCGCAUUAGCUAGUUGGUGAGAUAACAGCCCACCAAGGCGAGGAUGCGUAGCCGAACUGAGAGGUUGAUCGGCCACAUUGGAACUGAGACACGGUCCAAACUCCUACGGGAGGCAGCAGUAAGGAGUUUUCGGCAAUGGGGGAAACCCUGACCGAGCAACGCCGCGUGAGCGAUGACGGCCCUAUGGGUUUGUAAAGCUCUGUUGUAAGCCAUGAAUGACAGCUUGAGGAAAUGCAAGUUGUUUGACGACAGCUUACCAGAAAGCCACGGCUAACUACGUGCCAGCCGCAGC